UAGGGAAUAUUAGAAUGGACGCAAGUCUGAUCUAGCGACACCGCGUGUGCGAAGAAGGCCUUCGGGUUGUAAAGCACUUUUUGGAAGGAAUAGGAAGGAAGGUACUUCCAGAAUAAGUCUCGGCUAACUACGUGCCAGCAGCCGCGGUAACACGUAGGAGGCGAACGUUAUCCGGAUUUACUGGGCGUAAAGCGCGUGUAGGUGGUUCUGUAAGUAGGGCGUGAAAGCUCCUGGCUCAACUGGGAGAGGCCGUUCUAAACUGCAGAGCUAGAGGAUGGUAGAGGGGGGUGGAAGUCCAGGUGUAGCGGUGGAAUGCGCAGAUAUCUGGAGGAACACCAGUGGCGAAGGCGGCCUCCUGGACCAUUCCUGACACUCAGACGCGAAAGCUAGGGUAGCAAACGG
rnacentral:rRNA from 1 species